UACAGAGGGGGCAAGCGUUAUUCGGAAUUAUUGGGCGUAAAGAGCUCGUAGGCGGUUUGUCGCGUCUGCCGUGAAAGUCCGGGGCUCAACUCCGGAUCUGCGGUGGGUACGGGCAGACUAGAGUGAUGUAGGGGAGACUGGAAUUCCUGGUGUAGCGGUGAAAUGCGCAGAUAUCAGGAGGAACACCGGUGGCGAAGGCGGGUCUCUGGGCCGAUACUGACGCUGAGGAGCGAAAGCGUGGGGAGCGAUCCGG
rnacentral:rRNA from 1 species